GGUCAGUAGGUUGGUCGUGCCACCGGUACGUACUGGUCUCACUGAUUCCUCCUUCCUGAAGAACCGUAAUGCCAUUAAUUUGGUGUUGCGGGGAAACAGGACUGUUACUUUGAAAAGAUUAGAGUGUUUAAAGCAAGCUAACGCUUGAAUACAUUAGCAUGGAAUAAUGAAAUAGGACGAUCGAUCCUAUUUUGUUGGUUUCUAGGAUUGACGUA
rnacentral:rRNA from 1 species